UACGUAGGGUGCGAGCGUUAAUCGGAAUUACUGGGCGUAAAGCGUGCGCAGGCGGUGAUGUAAGACAGAUGUGAAAUCCCCGGGCUCAACCUGGGAACUGCAUUUGUGACUGCAUCGCUGGAGUGCGGCAGAGGGGGAUGGAAUUCCGCGUGUAGCAGUGAAAUGCGUAGAUAUGCGGAGGAACACCGAUCGCGAAGGCAAUCCCCUGGGCCUGCACUGACGCUCAUGCACGAAAGCGUGGGGAGCAAACAGG
rnacentral:rRNA from 1 species